rnacentral:rRNA from 1 species
CCGGCGCACGGGUGAGUAACGCGUAUCCAACCUGCCUUACACUCUUGGACAGCCUUCUGAAAGGGAGAUUAAUACAAGAUGUUAUCAUGAGUAAGCAUUUUCACAUGAUUAAAGGUUUACCGGUGUAAGAUGGGGAUGCGUUCCAUUAGAUAGUAGGCGGGGUAACGGCCCACCUAGUCUUCGAUGGAUGGGGGUUCUGAGAGGAAGGUCCCCCACAUUGGAACUGAGACACGGUCCAA